AUCUUGCGCAAUGGGCGAAAGCCUGACGCAGCAACGCCGCGUGCGGGAUGACGGCCCUCGGGUUGUAAACCGCUUUCAGCAGGGACGAAAUUGACGGUACCUGCAGAAGAAGCCCCGGCUAACUACGUGCCAGCAGCCGCGGUAACACGUAGGGGGCAAGCGUUGUCCGGAUUUAUUGGGCGUAAAGAGCUCGUAGGCGGUUCGGUAAGUCGGGUGUGAAAACUCUGGGCUCAACCCAGAGACGCCACUCGAUACUGCCGUGACUCGAGUCCGGUAGGGGAGCAUGGAAUUCCUGGUGUAGCGGUGAAAUGCGCAGAUAUCAGGAGGAACACCAGUGGCGAAGGCGGUGCUCUGGGCCGGAACUGACGCUGAGGAGCGAAAGCGUGGGUAGCAAACAGG
rnacentral:rRNA from 1 species